rnacentral:rRNA from 1 species
AGGAUGAGCCCGCGGCCUAUCAGCUUGUUGGUGAGGUAGUGGCUCACCAAGGCGACGACGGGUAGCCGGCCUGAGAGGGCGACCGGCCACACUGGGACUGAGACACGGCCCAGUCUCCUACGGGAGGCAGCAGUGGGGAAUAUUGCACAAUGGGCGCAAGCCUGAUGCAGCGACGCCGCGUCAGGGAUGACGGCCUUCGGGUUGUAAACCUCUUUCUGCAGGGAAGAAGCGAAAGUGACGGUACCUGCAGA